UUGGGUUUCGAUCAAUGAAGCGACUAUUGCAGAGAGGUGACAAUUCUCUCUUCUAGAGAUCCCGACGGUCUCAAAUUCCACGAUCUAAAGUAAGGUGAUCCCGGAUAGACGAGCUACUUUUCUUCUUUGUAAUCGGGAAAAGACAGGGUCACGCGCCUCGGGUAACACUCAGAUCGAAGAUCGUGAUUAAUAAUAGAGUUUCUGCUAUCCCGCUUUACGCCGCAACACAUAAUGAUUAUGGUCAGCAUCAGCUAAACGCCUCUCUCGAUGAUAUUUUCUACGAGCUAAAAACAAGAGCCCCGUCCAAGGCAAGACGAUACGGAGAAAAUCGGAGAUUUCUGUCGACCACGAGAUUAUAUUAAUAAUUUCUCCGCGAUCACUUGAUCUGAUCUGAUGAUCUACUUAAUAUGUGCGCAACCCACCACCGUCUUCAUGCUGUGUCUUCUAUGCUGAUACUACCGUCUAAAGCAGCUGUUGCCCUGCUUCCACUCAGCGUGAUCAACAACGAGGGGGGCGGCCGCAUCAACCACCAAAUCCUACCUCUUAGACCGAGCAGGGGGUUCGCUCUAACUGGCAUUGCUAGCGCAUGUGCAUAGGCGUCAUGUAGCCCACGUCUCGAGUCAGGUGACUUGAGCCUGAACUCGACGAAUAAACCAUCUGAUAUCUCAGCAGCAUUAACAGGAACGUUAGCAUAUGCAGCUGGCUAUUAGCUUAACAGU